rfam:Daphnia pulex DAPPTscaffold_125_Cont5189, whole genome shotgun sequence.
UGUCACUUAGCUCAGUUGGUAGAGCGCUGAACUCGAGUUCAGAUGGUCCGGGUUCAAACCUCGAUGGGUUAA